CAAGUCGAGCGGACAGAUGGGAGCUUGCUCCCUGAUGUUAGCGGCGGACGGGUGAGUAACACGUGGGUAACCUGCCUGUAAGACUGGGAUAACUCCGGGAAACCGGGGCUAAUACCGGAUGCUUGAUUGAACCGCAUGGUUCAAUUAUAAAAGGUGGCUUUUAGCUACCACUUACAGAUGGACCCGCGGCGCAUUAGCUAGUUGGUGAGGUAACGGCUCACCAAGGCAACGAUGCGUAGCCGACCUGAGAGGGUGAUCGGCCACACUGGGACUGAGACACGGCCCAGACUCCUACGGGAGGCAGCAGUAGGGAAUCUUCCGCAAUGGACGAAAGUCUGACGGAGCAACGCCGCGUGAGUGAUGAAGGUUUUCGGAUCGUAAAACUCUGUUGUUAGGGAAGAACAAGUACCGUUCGAAUAGGGCGGUACCUUGACGGUACCUAACCAGAAAGCCACGGCUAACUACGUGCCAGCAGCCGCGGUAAUACGUAGGUGGCAAGCGUUGUCCGGAAUUAUUGGGCGUAAAGCGCGCGCAGGCGGUUUCUUAAGUCUGAUGUGAAAGCCCCCGGCUCAACCGGGGAGGGUCAUUGGAAACUGGGGAACUUGAGUGCAGAAGAGGAGAGUGGAAUUCCACGUGUAGCGGUGAAAUGCGUAGAGAUGUGGAGGAACACCAGUGGCGAAGGCGACUCUCUGGUCUGUAACUGACGCUGAGGCGCGAAAGCGUGGGGAGCGAACAGGAUUAGAUACCCUGGUAGUCCACGCCGUAAACGAUGAGUGCUAAGUGUUAGAGGGUUUCCGCCCUUUAGUGCUGCAGCAAACGCAUUAAGCACUCCGCCUGGGGAGUACGGUCGCAAGACUGAAACUCAAAGGAAUUGACGGGGGCCCGCACAAGCGGUGGAGCAUGUGGUUUUAUUCGAAGCAACGCGAAGAACCUUACCAGGUCUUGACAUCCUCUGACAACCCUAGAGAUAGGCUUUCCCCUUCGGGGCAGAGUGACAGGUGGUGCAUGGUUGUCGUCAGCUCGUGUCGUGAGAUGUGGUAGUCC
rnacentral:rRNA from 2 species